rfam:Clostridium puniceum strain DSM 2619 CLPTN_contig000069, whole genome shotgun sequence.
ACCCCAUGUAUCAUAAAGUGAAUACAUAGCUUUAUGAAGGUAUACCCAGGGAACUGAAACAUCUAAGUACCUGGAGGAAGAGAAAGAAAAAUCGAUUUUCUUAGUAGCGGCGAGCGAAAAGGAAAGAGCCCAAACCAGAAAUUUAUUUCUGGGGUUGCGGACAGAACAUAACGAGAAAUCAUGGUUAAUUGAACACAACUGGAAAGUUGGACCAUAGAGGGUAAUAGUCCCGUAAGUGAAAACUAUGAUGAUCAGUUCUGCACCAGAGUACCACGAGACACGUGAAACCUUGUGGGAAGCAGGGAGGACCACCUCCCAAGGCUAAAUACUACCUGAUGACCGAUAGUGAAGCAGUACCGUGAGGGAAAGGUGAAAAGAACCCCGGGAGGGGAGUGAAAUAGAACCUGAAACCAUAUGCCUACAACCGAUCAAAGCACCAUAUGAGUGUGAUGAUGUGCUUUUUGUAGAACGAGCCAACGAGUUACGGUAUGUAGCGAGGUUAAGUACUUAAGGUACGGAGCCGAAGGGAAACCGAGUCUUAAUAGGGCGACUAGUUGCAUGCUGUAGACCCGAAACCGGGUGACCUAUCCAUGGCCAGGUUGAAGCGAGGGUAAAACCUCGUGGAGGACCGAACCACGUUGCUGUUGAAAAAGCAUGGGAUGAGCUGUGGAUAGCGGAGAAAUUCCAAUCGAACUCGGAUAUAGCUGGUUCUCCUCGAAAUAGCUUUAGGGCUAGCGUCGGAAAAUGUGAGUAGUGGAGGUAGAGCACUGAAUAGGCUAGGGGGCAUAGCGCUUACCGAACCUUAUCAAACUCCGAAUGCCAUAUACUAUCAGUCCGGCAGUCAGACUGUGAAAGAUAAGUUCCAUGGUCAAAAGGGAAACAGCCCAGAUCGUCAGCUAAGGUCCCAAAGUGUAAGUUAAGUGGAAAAGGAUGUGGGAUUUCUAAGACAACUAGGAUGUUGGCUUAGAAGCAGCCACUCAUUAAAAGAGUGCGUAAUAGCUCACUAGUCAAGAGAUCCUGCGCCGAAAAUGUCCGGGGCUCAAACUUACCACCGAAGCUACGGGUUCACGCAUUUGCGUGAGCGGUAGAGGAGCGUCGUAAUCGGGCUGAAGUCGUACCGUAAGGAGCGGUGGACUGAUUACGAGUGAGAAUGUUGGCAUUAGUAGCGAGAUGUAGGUGAGAAUCCUACAGGCCGAAUAUCUAAGGUUUCCUGAGUAAAGUUUGUCUUCUCAGGGUUAGUCGGGACCUAAGGCGAGGCCGAAAGGCGUAGUCGAUGGACAAUUGGUUGAUAUUCCAAUACCACUACAAUCGUUAUUAUCGAUGGUGUGACGGAGAAGGAUAAGAUGUGCCAGCUAUUGGAUGCUGGUCUAAGCGUUUAGGGAGUUAGGAUAGGCAAAUCCGUUCUAACAAUUCUGAGGCGUGAUGGGGAAGGUUCUACGGAACCGAAGUAUCUGAUUCCAUGCUUCCAAGAAAAGCAUCUAGAGAGAGAAGUAGUGCCCGUACCGCAAACCGACACAGGUAGAUGAGGAGAGAAUCCUAAGGCCGACGGAAGAAUUGCAGUUAAGGAACUAGGCAAAUUGACCCCGUAACUUCGGGAGAAGGGGUGCCUGCGAAAGCAGGCCGCAGAGAAUAGGCACAAGCAACUGUUUAACAAAAACACAGGUCUCUGCUAAAGCGUAAGCUGAUGUAUAGGGGCUGACGCCUGCCCGGUGCUGGAAGGUUAAGGGGAAUGCUUAGCGCAAGCGAAGGUGUGAACUUAAGCCCCAGUAAACGGCGGCCGUAACUAUAACGGUCCUAAGGUAGCGAAAUUCCUUGUCAGGUAAGUUCUGACCCGCACGAAUGGCGUAAUGACUUGUGCACUGUCUCAACUGCAAAUCCGGCGAAGUUGUAGUGCGAGUGAAGAUGCUCGCUACCCGCGAUUGGACGGAAAGACCCCGUAGAGCUUUACUGUAGCUUAGCAUUGAAUUUCGGUAUUGUCUGUACAGGAUAGGUGGGAGACUGGGAAACCAGAGCGUCAGCUUUGGUGGAGUCGUUGUUGGGAUACCACCCUGAUAGUAUUGAGGUUCUAACUGGAUGCCAUGAAACUGGUGACAGGACAUUGUUAGGUGGGCAGUUUGACUGGGGCGGUCGCCUCCUAAAAUGUAACGGAGGCGCCCAAAGGUUCCCUCAGAACGGUCGGAAAUCGUUCGAAGAGUGCAAAGGCAGAAGGGAGCCUGACUGCGACACCUACAAGUGGAGCAGGGACGAAAGUCGGGCUUAGUGAUCCGGUGGUACCUCGUGGGAGGGCCAUCGCUCAACGGAUAAAAGCUACCUCGGGGAUAACAGGCUGAUCUCCCCCAAGAGUUCACAUCGACGGGGAGGUUUGGCACCUCGAUGUCGGCUCGUCGCAUCCUGGGGCUGAAGUAGGUCCCAAGGGUUGGGCUGUUCGCCCAUUAAAGCGGCACGCGAGCUGGGUUCAGAACGUCGUGAGACAGUUCGGUCCCUAUCCGUCGCGGGCGUAGGAAAUUUGAGAGGAGCUGUCCUUAGUACGAGAGGACCGGGAUGGACUGACCUAUGGUGUACCAGUUGUUUCGCCAGAAGCAUAGCUGGGUAGCUAAGUCGGGAAGGGAUAAACGCUGAAAGCAUCUAAGUGUGAAGCCCACCUCAAGAUUAGAUUUCCCAUAGCGUAAGCUAGUAAGACCCCUUGAAGACUACAAGGUUGAUAGGUCAGAGGUGUAAGUAUGGUAACAUAUUUAGCUGACUGAUACUAAUAGGUCGAGGGCUUGACCAA